UGUGCCUUUUAAUAGCAUCAAACCAUAACAUUUCUAAAAACAUGCUAUAGAAACUAAACUAAAAAAUGCGCAAAAUAUUAAAAGCGGGAAAAUUUUCAGUUCUUUUUUUAGGGUUUGCCCUGGUUACGCUUCCCGCAAAUGCUCAUUUUCAUUUUCGUUCGUUCACUCCCCAAAUGCCUCUCUUCAAGUUCGUUUCCAUUCAUUCAUGCUCCAUCCUCAAUUCAAUCCUCUCUUCAAUUCGAUCUCUCCCCACAUUCACUCCUCGAUUUUGUUCUUUCACACCCAUUCACUUUCAUCUUGUUGUAGGUCUCAAACCUCUCUUCGAUUUUGUUCACGCCUAAGGGUGUUAUUACUCCUGGAGAGGUGAACAGUGGAUUAUAAAAGUCAGUGAUUUUUUAUUAAACUAACAGAUUUCAGUACAAUAAAAAAUCUAAUAGCUUCAUCAUCAAUAUGGACAAUCUUUAACAACAAGGAAAUUUCUCACAAUUCAAGAAUUUCAAGGAAUUUUAGUAGAAAAGGAAUGUUUCGUGGCAGAAACAAGAUAGAGCAAGAUAAUGAUGAUGAUGGUGAAGCAGAAGGAGAGUCCAUAUCUCGAAUAGUGUGUGUGUGGGGGUGGGGGAAGGAGGGUCGAGCACGCUAGAAAAGCAGGCGGUGGUGGUGCACUGAGCCAUGAGACAGCGAUUAGUAGCACCCAGGGAAACGACGACGUCAGAAAGCUUCGUAUUAGAAGAAAUAGCUUGAAGCGGUCUACACAACCUUAAAGUUGGUACUUGGACCUAAGAAGAUCUUUUUGUUGUGCGCCACAGUGUAAGCUCAUUAGUUUUGUUUUUAUCUUUACCAUUCAAAUGCAUUAUUUUAAAAUCUUGAUUAUGAAAUUAAUACCUUUUUAAUUUUUAAUAAUUACUGUAAUAUAUGGUUAAAAAUUCCAAUCUUAAGUCUGGAAUCAAUAUCUUCAUUUUGCAUAUGUAAAGCAUUACAACAUGUUUUUGGUAUUUGUCUUUAUGUUAGUUCAUGUUUUUAUGUGCGAGAUCUAUGAGGAUUGAGGUGCAAUUUAAGGUGCAUCGGGAAAACAUGUUUUGAUGUUCGAGAUUUGUGAGAUUUGUGGAAAAGGUGUCAUAUCUCUUAACUAUUUUGAUUUUGAUUUUUCAUUCAUAUAAUUUCUUACUUCUAAAUCACUUAUGUGUAUCCAACAAAAAAUACUACUAAUAUAUUUAAAUCUAUUUAUUCUAUAACUUUUAUUAUUGUACUUUCAAUGUCUUUGAUCUUAGUCACAAGAUGUGUGUGAGAACCACAAAAUUCACCCUUAAACAUAUUGGGUUAAAGAAAUAUUUGAUAUUACUGUUUUCAACUUCUGAUUAUCAUUGAUUCCUUUAAAAUUUUGGUAUUACGUGUAUUUAAAGGUAAUCUUCAAAACAUCUCAAUUAAAUUGCAUUUCCAUCUUUAUUGUCUCAUCUUUCUAUUUUUAUUCACCAUCAAUCUUCUAAUUUGAUUUCCCCUCCUACUCUGUUCUCCUUUUGCUUUCUUUUAACUCUUGUUUGGAAUCAAUCUAGAGUGCUAUAUACUCUUAAUCCGCAUUUUAGUGUGUUACACACGAAAUUGGAAGUGAGUUGAAGGGGAGGAAAGGAGUCACAAAACAAAACAUGGUCAUACUGUCAUUGGUUCAUAGAUGAAAAUCAAGUUACUGAAGGGUAAUUCAAUGUCUAGUCUUCCUAACCCAUAGUAGUAUAUGUUUCAUAUAGUGAAAAUUGAUGAAUUGACGUGGAUCCAUGUGUCUUAGAGUUCAAAUUGAUUGGGAAUUUAAGGAUGUGGAUGAAAUUUUUUUACUUGUUUUUGUAUUUGUUGGAUUACAUAUAUCUUCAAGGGCUUAGACUUGAAGCUUGGAGUGCAUAGUUUCUUUUCUGAGGCACCAUGAAGCAACAUGGUUGUUCAAAUGGAUGCACGGAGAUGGGUAAAUGUUUUUUCGUUGUUGAUAUUGAUUUCAUGGGGCUGGGUAAUGAUUUUCAACAUCUUUGUGGGUUUUUGUUAUUUUUUUACUUUGUUUUAGCUGUUGGUUUAUUUGACUAGUGGCUUUCAUGAGAUUUUGUGAUCGUGUAUGGUGAAUCAUAAAGAGACAAAACUUUGCUUUAUUUUUCAAUAGAGAAGUCAACUGCUUCAUUUUCACUGUUGGUUAGAGGUAGAAAUAUAAGAAGUUUGAUAUUUAAGACCAUUUGUGUAAUUCUUUCGGUUGUUAUGAAUUUGUUUGAUCACUCACAUCGUUUAUUCUUUAUUUCAUAUUUCAUUGUGUUUCUUCUAAUAGCCAAAGAUCUUAUACGUUGUUUAUGAAGUUUGAAUUUAGGGUUAGUGUUUGAGGUUAGAAUAUUUACAAGGACUAAAAUGGUGUUUAGGUGAAGUUUAGAGCCUUUAUCUGUUUAUUGAGAACUUCAUUUAAAUUUUUUGAUAUAGACAGGUUUUCUUGAUGGUUUGGAGAUGGAAAAUAACUCAAACGUACAAAAUUAGUUCUAAAUAAAUUUCAAAGGUAACUUACAUAGUUACCGGUUAAGAACCCAAAAACUUUGAUGUUGGAUGAGAUUAUCAACUAUGUGAAGUCAUUACAACACCGAGUUGAGGAUUGUCUUCUUAUAUGCAUCUAAAUAAUCCAAAAAUGUCAAUGGAAGAAGGUGAUGGAAAGCUUUGAUAUGAAAAAAAUUGAUCAACACAACAAAAGAAGGUACGUGAUGUGUUCAAAACAUCAGUUCUUGUUGCAAUCGUUAAAGGCGAGAUCGCUAGGUUGCUCCCUUUUAAAGAGUUUUCUUCGUCCUUCAAUCUCCACCGUUCUUGGUUUCUCCUAUUUGCUACGUCUCUUCUCCUCAUCUUUUUCUUCCUCUUCACCACCAUCUCUUCUUGUUCAGGGAUGUAUUUCUUCCUAUAUUCUUUUACCGAAUGAGACUUUGCAGAGUUUGUUUGUUUUUUAAUUUGUAUCAAUUUUUUACGUUAGUGAUUUGAUGUACUUUUAUUAUAUAUAUUAGUUGACUAAUACAGUUACGUGUUUUUUAUUCUCUCAAAAUGAAUGCAGUUCAUUGUAGUUAUGGUUAAGCUUGCAAUCAAUGUAUUUCAUAGUGGUCAAUGGGAUGAGCAGCAGUGCUACGUGGAUUACAAAACAAAUUGUGUUUUGGUUGAUGGAGUGACAUCAUCAUUUGAUUUUUUUGUGAACUUGAUACAUACUGAAAUUCAGAUUGAGUCAUCUAUUGAACUUUCAGUUUUGUUGCCUAUAGGUAAUGGUGUUCAACAUGUUCUUAAGAUUGUUAAAAACAAAGAUGUGACUUGGUUCUUGACAUUGGUUAAGGAUCAAUCUACCCAAUAUCUUUUAGUUGCUCAUUCUAUAGACACGAUUUUGGAUGUGUCAAUUGGUUCUUCUUCUUCUCUAGUUGAGACUGAUUUAGGAUGUGAAUUAGCACUUUUUAGAGAUGUUGAUAUUACUAAUUAUACUAACAAUGACGUGGCUUUUAAGGAGAAGGAUUUGUUUUGUAGUAAAGAAAUUUUGUUGAAGGCAUCCGCUUUAUAGCUGUCAAGACUAAUUUAUAGUUUAAGACAUUGAGAUCUAAUUCAAGAUCCAUUGAGUUGGGAUGUAAUGAAUAUGGUUGUCUUUGGUUUGUUAGAGCAUCGCGUUAUAAAAGAAGUGAAUUAUGGAUGAUUCGAAAAUAUGUUAGUGAUCAUAGUUGCUCAAUGAUUGUUCAUUCUUCUCAUAAGCAAGCAUCUUCAGAAUUUGUUAGUCAAUGUAUGAUUGAUUGUUUGAGAUAUAGUUAUUCCCAUUCAACACCAAAAGAUAUCAUUCACCAUAUGCGUAUGAAUUAUGGAGUUUCUGUUAGUUAUUAUAAGGCUUGGAGAUCAAAAGAAUCUGUUAUGAAGUUGUUGAAACGAGAUGCCGAUAAUUCUUAUGCUUUGAUUCCAAAGUUCUUUUCAAAACUAAAGAAAAUAAAUCCAGGUUUGUUUUUUACAACUUAAUUUAGUAUCUUGUUCAACUUAUUUCGUUUUUUUAUACUAUUGCCAAUUUUUGUAUAUCAGUUUAUUGAUACACCUAUUAUGAAGUAUACUUAUUGUAUGAUGUACGCAAUACUAAUUAUAUGUUUUCAUUCACUAUUUUACUUGUAUAGUUGGUAUACUAGCUAGUUGUUGUAUAUGAUUUUACUAAAAUAUCUAUGAUGAAGUAUACUUAUUGUAUGAUGUAUGCACUUACUAUUUAGUGCUUUUAUUAAAUUGAUUGUUCUAUUUUGUUUCUUUUUUUGUAGGUUCAUUUACUUUACUGCUUAUGAAAUAGAUGCAAAUUGCCAUUUCAAAUAUUUUUUCAUGGCUAUUGCAUCAUCAAUUGAAGGUUGGAGAUUUUGUAGACCAAAUAUAGCCGUUAAUGGGACAUUUUUAAAGUGUAAGUAUGGUGGAACAUUGUUAACGGCAGCAACUAUGGAUGAUCAUAGUAAAAUUUUCCCUCUUGCAUUUAGUAUAGUAGAUUCAGAGAAUGAUGCUUCUUGGAAAUGAUUUUUUGAACAAUUAAAACUUUCUCUUGGAGAUCGAGAGGGAUUGGUCAUUGCUUCUGAUAGACAUAUAAGUAUUUUGAAAGGUGUUUUAGAUGUGUUUCCAAUGGUACAAUAUUGCGUUUGUGUAGAACAUCUUUUGAAGAGUGUCAAGUUGUCAUUUAAAGACUCUUUAGUUGAAAAUAUUUUUUGUCAAAGUGCAUACUCUUAUACAAUAGAUGAUUCUGAGUUACAUAUGAGAUGGAUGGAGUCGAUAUACCCAUCUAUUAAAGGAUAUCUUAUGAAAGUUGGUUUUGAGAGAUGAUCACGCGCAUACUCUAGAAAAAGAGAAGAUAUCAAAUAAUGACAACAUAUAUUUGUGAAAGUUUUAAUUUUAAGUUGAAGAUUGAUAGAGACUUACCAGUUUCAUCCUUGCUUGAGGCCAUUAGAGAGUUUAUUCAACAAUGAUUUUAUGAGAGAAGAGAAGCAGUCUCAUGUUCAAAGAGUGUUUGAGUCCUUUGGCUGAAGGAAUAAUAAAAAAGCUAGUUGAUGAAUCACAAAGCUUCAUUGUUAAUUCUAUGAGUGAAGUUGAAUUUCAAGUAGUUGAUGGAGGCAAGAAUUUUUUAGUAAAGUUGAAUUGUAAUAGCUGCACUUGUAUUUUUUGGGAUCUAGAAGAAAUUUCAUGUGCUCAUGCUCUUCUUGUGA